UUUGGUAACCAUAGCAUGUUGGUCCCACCUGAUCCCAUUCCGAACUCAGUAGUGAAACGACAUAGCGCCGAUGGUAGUGUGGGGCUUCCCCAUGUGAGAGUAGGACAUUGCCAAAC
rnacentral:rRNA from 1 species